rnacentral:rRNA from 1 species
AGUCGAACGAUGAAGCUGGAGCUUGCUCCGGUGGAUUAGUGGCGAACGGGUGAGUAACACGUGAGCAAUCUGCCCUUGACUCUGGGAUAACUGCGGGAAACUGUAGCUAAUACCGGAUACGAGGCUCGAAGGCAUCUUCGGGUCUGGAAAGAAUUUCGGUCAAGGAUGAGCUCGCGGCCUAUCAGCUAGUUGGUGAGGUAAUGGCUCACCAAGGCGACGACGGGUAGCCGGCCUGAGAGGGUGACCGGCCACACUGGGACUGAGACACGGCCCAGACUCCUACGGGAGGCAGCAGUGGGGAAUAUUGCACAAUGGGCGAAAGCCUGAUGCAGCAACGCCGCGUGAGGGAUGAAGGCCUUCGGGUUGUAAACCUCUUUUAGCAGGGAAGAAGCGAAAGUGACGGUACCUGCAGAAAAAGCACCGGCUAACUACGUGCCAGCAGCCGCGGUAAUACGUAGGGUGCAAGCGUUGUCCGGAAUUAUUGGGCGUAAAGAGCUCGUAGGCGGUUUGUCGCGUCUGCUGUGAAAACCUGAGGCUCAACCUCAGACCUGCAGUGGGUACGGGCAAGCUAGAGUGCGGUAGGGGAGAUGGGAAUUCCUGGUGUAGCGGUGGAAUGCGCAGAUAUCAGGAGGAACACCGAUGGCGAAGGCACAUCUCUGGGCCGUAACUGACGCUGAGGAGCGAAAGCGUGGGGAGCGAACAGGAUUAGAUACCCUGGUAGUCCACGCCG